GUCAAAGACUUCUCUUGUCUGAAGACACUGACAGGAACUGAGCUGCUGGAGAUGUCAUAUCAGAGUUCACCUGCUGAGGUUGAGAUGACAUGUUUUUACACUGUAAAGCUUGGAGAGUCACAUUACCUAUCUCCACACAGUGACACAUCCUCCGUCACCAUACACAGUGACACAUCCUCCGUCACCAUACACAGUGACACAUCCUCUGUCACCAUACACAGUGAUACAUCCUCCGUCACCAUACACAGUGACACAUCCUCCGUCACCAUACACAGUGACACAUCCUCCGUCACCAUACACAGUGACACAUCCUCCGUCACCAUACACACUCUAAAACCUGAGGUGAGUCUUCAGCAUUUUCCUGGUGAAUACGUUUUCAUGACCUGCACUCUGCCUGGAUCUGCUCAUGAAGAUACGAGAUGUAACCUUUACUUUGGAGAAGAAAGGGAUCCAUUUCAAACAACAACCAUCUUGAAGCAAAGGACCUCAAAGAAUCAGAGGUUCUGCCAGUUUACUGUCACAAUUUCUGAUUUGCUUACCCGUCUCCAUUUUCCUCAAAGAAGCGUCACCAGCUGUGAUUACAGUUUGGGAAGUGAACCAAACUCUUUGUCUCCUCGUAGUGAUGGAUACCGCUUGACUGAUAUUGUGGAAAGAGAAUCAAGCGCUCCCUUCACAAAACCAGUAUUUCCUAUGACCACAGAUUUGAUUGUUGGCAGACCCGGUGCUUCUGCAACUCCUGUGAAACUGGAAUCAGAUAUUGUGGACAAAGAGACACACUCCACACAGACUAUGGCGACAUCUACUAUGACCACAGGUAGGACUGUUAGCAGGCUCCAUGCCUCCACACCUAUAACUCGGACCAAACGAACGUUAGGUCAGAAUGUUGGAUCCAGCAACACUGGUAGUUUCAUCUCUACUUCUAUCACACCAGUGAAACCAACAUCAGCAGAAACAUGGACAUGGAACUUGGUAGUAGUUGCAGCGUGUCUUGGAGGUGUCAUCUUACUGGGCCUAGCACUUCUCUUUACCAAAAGAAGAACUGAAAGAUGUUCUAGCAAAAGGACACAAGCUGAUGCCACUGAUGACUUAAUGUGCAUGAGAGAGCUUAACCAUGGAGGAUCAGUAAUUAAAAAAUGUUUUCUCUGUCAGAUGUAG
rnacentral:lncRNA from 1 species